CAGCAACUUCCAACGAGGCGAGACAACAGACAGGCACAGCGGACACUGCCCGUUCCCCCUCCGUGUGACGAACCAUCAGGUGGAGAAAUAUGUGAUCAGACCCCAAGAGCUGGAGUGACUCCUGUGAGCAUCAGAAGGCCACCCUCAUCACAAACAGGCUUUUGAAGACACUUCGUCCUGUCCCCUCGCAGAGAACCAGUACCCACCAUGGAAUCAACACAAGAAAUGAAAUUGGAAGAAAGGGCGAUACGGAACAACUGGAUGGAAGAGUUGGGCCAUAAAACCAAAAGCUGUGGAAGCCAACUUCAUGGUUAGGAAAGAACUGGAAAUGUGUGGGUGUGUGCUCAGGGCCUGAGGAAAAUUCCGGAAGUCCUGCAGAUGUUUUUUGUUAGGAGGCGUUGGAAGCCCCAAGGGCUGUAUCUUCUUGGGAAACAAGUCUAUUUAAGAAACGUA